GGGGGUGCAGCGGCCGCCAUGUCAGCUGUGGGCAGCGGGGCAGGGACGCGAGGCCGCGUCUUUCCCCUCCUCCCGGCCGGGAAGUCACAAUCUAAGCAACUGUAUUAUAUCUGGUAUUGGAACGGCUAGACUUGGAGACUUAAAAAUAUCACAUCAUUGUAAUCCCGACAGCUGCAUUUAAUUGCAGAUGAUGUGCCUACGUUUUAAAAUAGAAAACGACAAGCAGUUACAUCACAUUUUUUGCCAGGUCCCCCCUGCACACCCCUUUGCAAGCGUGGCCUCCCUAAUGCCAACACCCAGAUUUCUGUGCCAGCCUCUGAAAAACAGGUGGAUGCCAAGAAAGGAAGGCUUUGGUAUGGAAAGGUUGCCCUACCUGUAAACCAAGCUUUGGCGUGCUGCUCUGGGUGCCUGCAGGGUUCGAGGGUGCUGGGCUGCAGGAUGAGAGUGCCUGUCACUCUUCAGGUGUCAUCUGCAACUCCAACAGGGAUUCCUUAUCACUCCUGGGAAAAGGUGGCAGGCAGAACUGAAGUGAAUCAUUGAAGGGGAGUAGCCCCUGGGCUGCCUCUUAGGUUGUUCUGAUACUUUGUAACUUUCUAUUCACAUAAAUAAUAAAGGCUUUAAAUUAA